GUUUGAUCCUGGCUCAGGAUGAACGCUGGCGGCGUGCCUAAUACAUGCAAGUCGAACGCACAGCGAAAGGUGCUUGCACCUUUCAAGUGAGUGGCGAACGGGUGAGUAACACGUGGACAACCUGCCUCAAGGCUGGGGAUAACAUUUGGAAACAGAUGCUAAUACCGAAUAAAACUCAGUGUCGCAUGACACAAAGUUAAAAGGCGCUUUGGCGUCACCUAGAGAUGGAUCCGCGGUGCAUUAGUUAGUUGGUGGGGUAAAGGCCUACCAAGACAAUGAUGCAUAGCCGAGUUGAGAGACUGAUCGGCCACAUUGGGACUGAGACACGGCCCAAACUCCUACGGGAGGCUGCAGUAGGGAAUCUUCCACAAUGGGCGAAAGCCUGAUGGAGCAACGCCGCGUGUGUGAUGAAGGCUUUCGGGUCGUAAAGCACUGUUGUAUGGGAAGAACAGCUAGAAUAGGGAAUGAUUUUAGUUUGACGGUACCAUACCAGAAAGGGACGGCUAAAUACGUGCCAGCAGCCGCGGUAAUACGUAUGUCCCGAGCG
rnacentral:rRNA from 1 species